UCAGAUUUAUCCGGAUAAGUCUUCCUAUUAACAUGUUUUUGUGAGGUCAGAAUGGGCUUCCCACGGAGCUCAGUGGUAAAGAAUCCACCUGCCGAUGCAGGAGAUGUGGGAGAAUUGGGUUCAAUCCCUAGGUCAGGAAAAUUCCCUGGAGUAGGAAACAGCAAAACACUCCAGUCUUCUUUGCCGUGGAAAAUUCCAUGGAUAGGAUAGCCUAAGGGGCUGUAGUCUAUGGGGUUGCAAAGAGUUAGACACGACUGAACACGUGAGGUCAGACAUGGUUCUCCCAAUGACUUGAAGACCUGGAACACACCUCAGAAGCUUCCAGAAUCUCAGUUCCCAUCUCAGGGCAAGCCCUUGGAGUCCUAAAAGAAUCUGCCAGCAAGAGCCGCCUGAGAGAACAGACAAUGGAGCUCUAUGUACCUCUGCAGAAAAAGAACAAAAAUUCCUACACUUCAAUGUUAACUUCUGGGAUCCGCAGCCACCCCAGGGCAUCCUGGAGAUCACCCAACACAGAAGACAUCUUCAGAGCUUAAAUUAGCUUGCAAAUAUCAAAAAGAAAUCCUAAGAAGUUUCCUUCUACCCAACUUGACAGGUGUUCUCCUGACACUUCUGGAAAUCCUCAC
ensembl:lncRNA